rnacentral:rRNA from 1 species
CACAUGCUAGUCGCACGGGCGGGGGAAACUCCGUCAGUGGCGGACGGGUGAGUAACGCGUAGGUAUCUAUCGAUGGGUGGGGGACAACCACGGGAAACUGUGGCUAAUACCGCAUGACGACUGAGGUCUAAAGGCUGAGAGGUCGCCUGUUGAGGAGCCUGCGUCUGAUUAGCUAGUUGGUGGGGUAACUGCCUACCAAGGCGAUGAUCGGUAGCUGGUCUGAGAGGAUGAUCAGCCACACUGGGACUGAGACACGGCCCAGACUCCUACGGGAGGCAGCAGUGGGGAAUAUUGGACAAUGGGCGCAAGCCUGAUCCAGCAAUGCCGCGUGUGUGAAGAAGGUCUUCGGAUUGUAAAGCACUUUCGACGGGGACGAUGAUGACGGUACCCGUAGAAGAAGCCCCGGCUAACUUCGUGCCAGCAGCCGCGGUAAUACGAAGGGGGCUAGCGUUGCUCGGAAUGACUGGGCGUAAAGGGCGCGUAGGCGGAUUGUACAGUCAGAUGUGAAAUUCCUGGGCUUAACCUGGGGGCUGCAUUUGAUACGUGCGAUCUUGAGUUCGGAAGAGGGUCGUGGAAUUCCCAGUGUAGAGGUGAAAUUCGUAGAUAUUGGGAAGAACACCGGUGGCGAAGGCGGCGACCUGGUCCUGGACUGACGCUGAGGCGCGAAAGCGUGGGGAGCAAACAG